GGUAGCGUGACCGAGCGGUGUAAGGCGAUGGCUUAAGGCACUAUUUUCUUUGGCAAUGUGAAUUCGAAUCUCACCGCUGCCA
rnacentral:tRNA from 1 species